rnacentral:rRNA from 1 species
AUGGGCGAUGGAGCCAAUCGACCACGUCGACAUCUCGUCCGGAUCACAUCAAGGGGAAAACAAAUACUACAAAAACCUGCCUCGCCCGCACGUUACCAUCGUCAUGUAGCUGUAUGCAUGUACGCGUCUCCAAGGCAACUCGACGUUGUUAACAGCUGCACGAGCUGUGAUAGAUUCGAUAUUUUUGCUCAUCCAAGGCGACAAAUGGGAGUAUUUUACUCGCAUGAUGGCAUGCACCACGUCGGCACGUACGCACGGCCCCUAUCUUGUGCCGUCAGGCCACGUCCUUCCCUUUCGAUUUCUAUUGUUUCGCUCGUACGUACUCCUUGCGUUGCGUGGCUCCGAUUAUAUAUAGAGAAAAAACGAGUCCCUCGAAAAAAAAAACGAGUUAGCGGUGCAAGUACGGCGGCCGGACCGGCGACCGGCCGCGCAAUUCCUGUCAAACUCACGGGACCCAAUAUCCACCGACUCGUACAGCGACGCCGAAAGAUCGCACCUGGCCAUGCAUGCAUCCCCGGCGCACGGGCGGCAGGCGGGCGGCGGCAGCGGCUGAAUACUAAUCGCAUCGGAUGCAUGGCGACUUAG